rnacentral:rRNA from 1 species
GGCGAACGGGUGAGUAACGCGUGAGUAACCUGCCCUGGAGUGGGGGGACAACAGUUGGAAACGACUGCUAAUACCGCAUAAGCCCACGGAUCCGCAUGGAUCUGCGGGAAAAGGAUUUAUUCGCUUCAGGAUGGACUCGCGUCCAAUUAGCUAGUUGGUGAGGUAACGGCCCACCAAGGCGACGAUUGGUAGCCGGACUGAGAGGUUGAACGGCCACAUUGGGACUGAGACACGGCCCAGACUCCUACGGGAGGCAGCAUG